rnacentral:misc_RNA from 1 species
AUUAGCAUUGUGAAAACUGCACUCCAGCUCUUCUCAGAAAUAUAACCUGUCAGUAAAGGUCCAAUUGCAGCCCCAACUGAGCCUGUGCCAUCUAUAAUUGCAGUAACUGUUGCCAAUGCCCUUGAGUUCCCUUUCAAGGAACUGUGGGUUCCCAAGUCAGCUGAGACAGCUGUUGUUAUUAGUGCAUAAGGCCCAUUCACAAACAUGCCGGUGAUAAACAUAAGGGCAAUAUUUACAACCAAGGAAAUAUGUCCAUAGCUUCGGUAAAAGAAGAGAGCAGGGAUUGCACAGUACAUGAAGCUUGCAGCCGUAAUGGCUCUGGCAUCUAGACGAUCAGAAAUGUGUCCAGCUAAGAUUCCUCCAAUCACCCCUCCCACAUCAAACAAUGUUGAUAAGUUCCCAGCUGUGCCACUUGAUAAGUACUUCCCAUUGAUAGCUGUGUGGCUAAUGUAGAAAGGAAGCCAGUAGAGAAAUGUGUAAGCCACCAAUUUGGCAAAGAAAAGGCAAAGAGCAAAAGGAGCAACCCCUGGAAUUUUCCAUGCUUCAAUGAACCCAACUGCCGUCUCCUUAACCUUGGAGUCUGAUCCCAAAAGAGGCUCUGUAACUUCCUCUUCGGUUUUCUUUGGAUAAUGCAAUUCAUCUUCGUUUCUGUCAAUUCCAACAGAUUCAGGACUAACAGGAAGUACUAGAAAAACCACCAAGCCUAUAAAAGCAAUAAGGAAGCC